rnacentral:rRNA from 1 species
AAUGGGGGCAACCCUGAUCCAGCCAUUCCGCGUGAGUGAAGAAGGCCUUCGGGUUGUAAAGCUCUUUCGGCCGGGAAGAAAUCGCAUCUCCUAAUACGGGGUGUGGACGACGGUACCGGAAGAAGAAGCACCGGCUAACUACGUGCCAGCAGCCGCGGUAAUACGUAGGGGGCAAGCGUUGUCCGGAUUUACUGGGUGUAAAGGGCGCGCAGGCGGGAUAGCAAGUCAGAGGUGAAAUCCUACAGAUUAACUGUAGAACUGCCUUUGAUACUGUUAUUCUUGAGUUCGGGAGAGAGAGACGGAAUUCCAGAUGUAGUGGUGAAAUACGUAGAUAUCUGGAAGAACACCAGUUGCGAAGGCGGUCUCUUGGUCCGAUACUGACGCUGAGGCGCGAAAGCGUGGGGAGCAAA